rnacentral:rRNA from 1 species
CCUACGGGAGGCUGCAGUCGAGAAUCAUUCACAAUGGGGGAAACCCUGAUGGUGCGACGCCGCGUGGGGGAAUGAAGGUCUUCGGAUUGUAAACCCCUGUCAUGUGGGAGCAAAUUAAAAAGAUAGUACCACAAGAGGAAGAGACGGCUAACUCUGUGCCAGCAGCCGCGGUAAUACAGAGGUCCCAAGCGUUGUUCGGAAUCACUGGGCGUAAAGCGUGCGUAGGCUGUGUCGUAAUUCGUGUGUGAAAGGCGGGGGCUCAACCCGCGGACGGCACAUGAUACUGCGAGACUAGAGUAAUGGAGGGGAAACCGGAAUUCUCGGUGUAGCAGUGAAAUGCGUAGAUAUCGAGAGGAACACUCGUGGCGAAGGCGGGUUCCUGGACAUUAACUGACGCUGAGGCACGAAGGCCAGGGGAGCGAAAGGGAUUAGAUACCCUGGUAGUC